CUUUCCCUUUUUUGGAGAAAAUUUGGUUUGUUUCUUUUUCUUGACCAGACCAUUGACCACCGCUGGUGACUUGAGGUUUUGCUGAAGCCGCAGUCAAUUUUUCUGAAUUUUCCUCAUCAAGAUGUUUCGCAGGCAGCGCUCUUCUCAUACACCUUCUCGUCUAAGAUUCCUUCUGGGAGCAGGUGGCUACACCUUCCCUUACCCAAAUCAUCACAAUUUGCGUCUGAUUCGAGCUCUGAUGGAAGUCUGGCUUUUUUGCACUUUGUCCCAAUUAAAGCAGAACCGAAAGUUUAUUUUUAUAUUUUGGAUCACUGCCUGCACUUUCUGAAUUUUCCAUUCCAAUAAAGUUCCUUAAUUU